rnacentral:rRNA from 1 species
UGGGGAAUAUUGGACAAUGGGCGAAAGCCUGAUCCAGCCAUGCCGCGUGUGUGAAGAAGGCCUUUUGGUUGUAAAGCACUUUAAGCGAGGAGGAGGCUACCGAGAUUAAUACUCUUGGAUAGUGGACGUUACUCGCAGAAUAAGCACCGGCUAACUCUGUGCCAGCAGCCGCGGUAAUACAGAGGGUGCGAGCGUUAAUCGGAUUUACUGGGCGUAAAGCGUGCGUAGGCGGCUUUUUAAGUCGGAUGUGAAAUCCCUGAGCUUAACUUAGGAAUUGCAUUCGAUACUGGGAAGCUAGAGUAUGGGAGAGGAUGGUAGAAUUCCAGGUGUAGCGGUGAAAUGCGUAGAGAUCUGGAGGAAUACCGAUGGCGAAGGCAGCCAUCUGGCCUAAUACUGACGCUGAGGUACGAAAGCAUGGGUAGCAAACAGG